rnacentral:lncRNA from 1 species
GCUUUUCCUUUGCCUUCUGCCAUGAUUGUAAGUUUCCUGAGGCCUUCCCAGCGAUGUGGAACUGAAACCACACAUUCAAAAUAAUGCUAACCUGUCAAGUUAUUGAUCUGCACUGUACAUAUUUCCUGGUCAUAGGCAGCUUCCACACAAGAACAUCUGGAUGCAAAUUAAAGAAUUCAAUUACUCAAGCCUAAGUGAUAGAGGAGACCUCGGCUACUCUGCCUGAGCACAUCACUGCUGGAUCUCAAAAUCUGCAAGAACUUCCUAGGGCUUCAGGAACUUUCAUGUGCAUACCAGUCACCUGGGAAUCUUGUUACGAUGCAUAUUCUUUUUCAGUAAGCCCAAAUUCUGCAAUUCUUAUAAGGUCUUAGGGGACAUGAUGUUUGCUUCUAGUGGUCCAUGGUCUACUCCUGAAGGUCCACCAUGCCCAGCUUCAUCUCCCCACCCUCUGGAAACUCUCCUGUACCCAAGCCACUUGCUCUCUUCUAAAUAGGCAUUGUGUUCCCAUGUUCCCAUGUGUCUGCCUCUUUCAACUUCUCCUCUAAAAAUUCUCCAUGACCCCCAAGCAUAAGCCUCCAGCAGCAAGCUCAAAAAUGCUUUCUACUCUGUUGUGUUGCCCGGCCCACUUCAAGAGUAGAUGCUCAAUUCCUUCUUCCCCUAGUCGUAUUUGCUGCUACUUUUGCAGGCUGCUGGAACACUUUCACUCUGAGGAUUCUGAUGAACACAGUUCUUGCCCUCUUCACUUUUCCAAUCUGGUUGCAGGCACAGCGGGGGACAGCAGGAGUGCAACACAGUAACUUAAUAUAAUAUGGAGCUGCUAUUAUGGAGGGAAACAUUCACUGCUCUGAAAGGACUCAACAGCUGAGUCUUAAAGAAGGAUUUUACAAGAUUGACAAAGAAAUGGGUUAUCUCCAGAUAGGAAGGAAAAAUCACAAGGAAUAGUACAGCAAGGAAAGAGGAAACAGCACUGGACUUGGGGAAAAGGGAAAUCCUUGAGAUGUUGCUAAGGCAUAAAGAGCAAGACAGAGAGUGUCAGAAGAUGACACUGACGUCACCUGACUCCUGCUGCUGAGCUUCUCUGACAUUUUCUCAAGGGCUCAAGGCUUGGAUACCCUCUGAUAUGGUUUAUCUGUGUCCCCGCCCAAAUCUCACCUUGGUUUGUAAUCAUCUCCAUGUGUCAAGAAUGGGACCAGGUGGAGAUAAUUGAAUCAUGGGGGCAGUUUCCCACAUACUGUUCACAUGGUAGUAAAUAAGUCUCAUGAGCUCUGAUGGUUUUAUAAAUGGGAGUUCCCCUGCACAGGCUCUUUUUGCCUGCCACCAUGGAAGACACCCCUUUGCCCUUCCUUUAUUUUCUGCCACAAUUGUGAGGCCUCCCUAGCUAUGUGGAAUUGUGAGUGCAUUAAACCUCUUUCCUUUACAA